UCUACACAGCUUUGGGUCCUAUUUUGCUGGAAGAAACCCAAGUGCAGGUCUACUACGACCCCUCCCCCCCUUUCCCACCUAAUGGCCAACACAGAGGCCAAGCAGAGGGACUUGGGCUCCAAGAGAAAGAGGCUGUCAAAGUACCACAACUCUUUGGUGACCUUUGCAGAUGUGGCAAUAUAUUUCUCAGAAGAUGAAUGGAAUCUCUUGACGAAGAAACAGAAACUUUUGUACAAUUAUGUAAUGAUGGACAAUUAUGAAAAUGUGGCUUCUGUAG